rnacentral:rRNA from 1 species
AGAGUUUGAUCCUGGCUCAGAGCGAACGCUGGCGGCAGGCUUAACACAUGCAAGUCGAGCGGGCGUAGCAAUACGUCAGCGGCAGACGGGUGAGUAACGCGUGGGAACGUACCUUUUGGUUCGGAACAACACAGGGAAACUUGUGCUAAUACCGGAUAAGCCCUUACGGGGAAAGAUUUAUCGCCGAAAGAUCGGCCCGCGUCUGAUUAGCUAGUUGGUGAGGUAACGGCUCACCAAGGCGACGAUCAGUAGCUGGUCUGAGAGGAUGAUCAGCCACAUUGGGACUGAGACACGGCCCAAACUCCUACGGGAGGCAGCAGUGGGGAAUAUUGGACAAUGGGCGCAAGCCUGAUCCAGCCAUGCCGCGUGAGUGAUGAAGGCCCUAGGGUUGUAAAGCUCUUUUGUGCGGGAAGAUAAUGACGGUACCGCAAGAAUAAGCCCCGGCUAACUUCGUGCCAGCAGCCGCGGUAAUACGAAGGGGGCUAGCGUUGCUCGGAAUCACUGGGCGUAAAGGGUGCGUAGGCGGGUCUUUAAGUCAGGGGUGAAAUCCUGGAGCUCAACUCCAGAGCUGCCUUUGAUACUGAAGAUCUUGAGUUCGGGAGAGGUGAGUGGAACUGCGAGUGUAGAGGUGAAAUUCGUAGAUAUUCGCAAGAACACCAGUGGCGAAGGCGGCUCACUGGCCCGAUACUGACGCUGAGGCACGAAAGCGUGGGGAGCA